rnacentral:rRNA from 1 species
UACGUAGGGUGCAAGCGUUGUCCGGAAUUAUUGGGCGUAAAGAGCUCGUAGGCGGUCUGUCGCGUCUGCUGUGAAAACUCGGGGCUUAACCCCCGGGCCUGCAGUGGGUACGGGCAGACUAGAGUGCGGUAGGGGAGACUGGAAUUCCUGGUGUAGCGGUGAAAUGCGCAGAUAUCAGGAGGAACACCGGUGGCGAAGGCGGGUCUCUGGGCCGUAACUGACGCUGAGGAGCGAAAGCAUGGGGAGCGAACAGG